AGCGAGGAGCCAUGUCCUGCCG
rnacentral:misc_RNA from 1 species